rnacentral:rRNA from 1 species
GUAAUGAUUAAUAGGGAUAGUUGGGGGCAUUAGUAUUCAAUUGUCAGAGGUGAAAUUCUUGGAUUUAUUGAAGACUAACNNNUGCGAAAGCAUUUGCCAAGGAUGUUUUCAUUAAUCAAGAACGAAAGUUAGGGGAUCGAAGACGAUCAGAUACCGUCGUAGUCUUAACCAUANNCUAUGCCGACUAGGGAUCGGAU